UAAAAAAAAAAAUGGGGGGGGCCGGGGGGGGUUUUUUCCCUUGGGUGGGGGGGGGGGGGGGGGAAAACCGGGGGGAACCCCCCCUUAAAGCGGGGAAAAUUCCGGGAAACCGGGGUUAAUCCCGGAUGUUUGAUGGACCCCCAGGUUCAAUCAUAAAAGGGGCUUUUAGCUACCCUUCCCGAUGGACCCGGGGGCCUUAGCUAGUUGGUGAGGUAACGGUUCACCAAGGCGACGAUGCGUAGCCGACCUGAGAGGGUGAUCGGCCACACUGGGACUGAGACACGGCCCAGACUCCUACGGGAGGCAGCAGUAGGGAAUCUUCCGCAAUGGACGAAAGUCUGACGGAGCAACGCCGCGUGAGUGAUGAAGGUUUUCGGAUCGUAAAACUCUGUUGUUAGGGAAGAACAAGUACCGUUCGAAUAGGGCGGUACCUUGACGGUACCUAACCAGAAAGCCACGGCUAACUACGUGCCAGCAGCCGCGGUAAUACGUAGGUGGCAAGCGUUGUCCGGAAUUAUUGGGCGUAAAGCGCGCGCAGGCGGUUUCUUAAGUCUGAUGUGAAAGCCCCCGGCUCAACCGGGGAGGGUCAUUGGAAACUGGGGAACUUGAGUGCAGAAGAGGAGAGUGGAAUUCCACGUGUAGCGGUGAAAUGCGUAGAGAUGUGGAGGAACUCCAAUGGCAAAGGCGACUCUCGGGUCUGUUACAAACGCUGAGGGGUGAAAGCGGGCGGUGUGACAAGGCCCGGGUACAACGGUAUUCCACGCCGUAAACGAUGAGUGCUAAGUGUCGCGGCAUGGUGAUCCGCGAUUACUGCGAUUCCGCUUCAUGCACUCCGCCUGAGGGGAGUUGCAGCAAAUCCGAAACUGAAACGGUUUUAUGAGAUUAGCUCACCCCCCGGGAGUUCGCUCUUCAAUUCGAAGCAACGCGAAGAACCUUACCAGGUCUUGACAUCCCCCGGUAGCCCUGGGGGGGGGGCUUCCCCUUCAGGGGCAGAGUGACAGAUUGUGCAUGGUUGUCCCCCUCUUUUUUGGGGGGAAGGAGUUUUAAGUCCAGCAUUAAUGGGAAACCUUGAUCUUAAAUAGUGGCGGUUUGGUGGUUUCUUUAAGGUGACUGCCGGUGACAAACCGGGGGGGGGCAAGAUUGAAGUCAAAUCAUCGCGCCUACCAUGACGUGUGCUACACAUGUCCGAUCAUGGUCAGCACAGAGAUUUAAAGAGCCGCGAGGUUCCUUUAAUUAAAAAAAUAUUUGAGGGGCGCGCAUUGGGUGGCUCCCCGGGGGGGCGUUGGU
rnacentral:rRNA from 1 species